CUUAGGCAUGGGCCCACCUCUUUGUGAAUAUGUUCAGGCCCUCUGAGAAAAGCACCAUGCGUGGCUUGUUCAGUUGGAAAGGAUUGAGCUCUCCUUGCCUCUGCAGGUGACAAAAAAGAUUUGAAGGAAACAGCUUCAGAUUUGAUCUUUCAAAGGACAAAAGGUUUGCUCUGGAACUUUGUCUAAACAAUAUAAAAC